AGCACCGGGGAUGAACAACUUUUGUCACGUGACCGCAAAAGUCAACGCCGGUUGCAGAAACAGAUUGUAAUCUUGUACAUUAAGAAACAUGACGCUCGUGUGUGAAAUCUGUGGAAAGACAUUUAAAUCGAAGUGGGGGUUAAAGCUUCAUGAUAAGCGCCACAGAGGGACUGGACGAUUCGCCUGUUGUGGAAAAACAUUUUACACAAAACAGGCGUUCAACAGACACAGAUGCAGCAUUCAUGGUGUUGAAAAGCCGUUCCCCUGUGAACAAUGCGGCAAAAAGUUUUCAACCAAAGAUGACCUGAAUCGUCACGUCCGGAGGGAGGUUGCUGCAAAGCAAUUUACCUGCUCAAUUUGCAAUGCAACGCUCCGGGAGAAAAUUGACCUUCAGGCCCACCUUGCCACCCACAAUGGAGAGAAAAACUUUGCUUGUGAUAUGUGUGAAAAGAGGUACAGGCACCGCAGUAGUCUAUCAAAGCACAGAUCUGCAAAGCACCGGGCCUAGUCAUCUGUUGCAUGACGAUGAUAAGACCAAGAAUUAUUUUUAAUUCUUACCAAUGUGCCGUGGUUAUUUUCUUAAUUAUUGAAAAUACAGACUGUCAUACAAUAAUAUAUAGUAUUACGCGUGUUUUUGCGUCUUAAACAUUGUGUUUCAUAUCGUUUAUCUUGUGUUGUUUUGUUUGAUAUUCCUGUUUUUAAUAAGAUUAUUGUUGUAAUAUUUAUCAUUCUAAUUUAAAAUGAUUAUGAUAAUGGUUGAUCUCAUACAAAUUAUUGUGUUCAUUAUUGCUCAUCUGUGAUUACUGUUGAUCUCAGCCCAUGAAUUGUGAUUUAUAUUGAUUAUCUGUGAUUAUUGUUGAUCUUAUCAAAAUAAUUGUAAUUUAUGUUGAUUAUCUGUGAAUUUUUUAUCUUAACCUAUUAAUAGUGAUUUAUAUUAUCUGUGAUUAUUGUUGAUCUUAUCAAAAUCAUUGUGAUUUAUGUUGAUUAUCUGUGA